UCAUUGACUACUGUGUCUUGCAUAUUUAACCUAUUUCACUGAUCCACCAUUCUAUUUCUUAGCCAGUACAACUGACUGUUUUAAACUGCUCAUCUUGAUGUUAAGUAAUGCAGUGAUUAUUAGGUAGCUAUGACUAUUGUUUUCCAGGUCACAUCUGAUUUGAGGUUAUUCCUUGUUAGUGUGUAGUCAAAGUUUUCCAGUAUGUCCUGUGCAAAGAAUGAGUUUUAGUACCAUACCUCUAGAGUUAAAGCAGAGACCUUUUUUUUUAUUUUGAGUCAGGGAAUUUGGACUAAAGAUGAUUUCUAAGAUUUUUUUUAAAGGGGUGAAGUUUUAAAGGCUCAAGUGAGUGAAUUGUGAUAUACUGAAAAAUGGAUUUCACAGCUACUUAUAGUUUGCAAAGCAAGAUGAAUUGAAAGCCCUGUUAAAAACUGGAACAAUUCUGAUGGCACCUUAAGACAUGUCCUGGUGAAGUGAUUCCUGCCUCUAUCAUGCAUACUAAUUAAAAAGGUGCUAUUCAAGAUGCUGGGGAAGCACACACACUGGAAGAAGACAGACUACAGGAGAAUAGGUGUCACCUGGCAAAGGUAGGGACUGAAACGGUGGGGUGGAAAAAAGGAGGAAAUCUUGAUUCGGUGGUAAGAGGGGAGAUCUUAUUGAAAAAACACCCUUAAUGAGGGGGUGUUAGAGAUUCUGUGAUAGGAAAUGAAGAGUUUUAAUGGGUACAAUCAGCAAAAAUUUGGUGCUUCAAAAGACUUUUGAGAAUGUCAUACCUCCAUGGACAGCAUUCUUCCUCAAGAGAAGAGUAGAUUCCUGCAGGAAACUGACAACAGCAAAGUUGGAAGGUAUAAUGAGAAAAGAGACUUAAUGGCAAAUGGGUAAAAAUUAUCAUGAUGAGAGUAACUGGCCAGGGAGGCCAGUAGGUGGAGUUGAGGAGGGAGAGCAAGCCAGGUGUAGGGAACAGUCAGAAAAAAAAUGCUUGGAGCCCAGAGAUCAACAGUCUCGUUUCUGGAAUAGCCAGGAGGCUAGUGCCACUGGAUUUAGUAUGUGUUAGGGAGUUGUGUGUGUGUGUGUGUGUGUGUGUAG